rnacentral:rRNA from 1 species
AUUGAACGCUGGCGGCAGGCUUAACACAUGCAAGUCGAGCGGGGUGAUGGUGCUUGCACUAUCACUUAGCGGCGGACGGGUGAGUAAUGCUUAGGAAUCUGCCUAUUAGUGGGGGACAACAUUUCGAAAGGAAUGCUAAUACCGCAUACGUCCUACGGGAGAAAGCAGGGGAUCUUCGGACCUUGCGCUAAUAGAUGAGCCUAAGUCGGAUUAGCUAGUUGGUGGGGUAAAGGCCUACCAAGGCGACGAUCUGUAGCGGGUCUGAGAGGAUGAUCCGCCACACUGGGACUGAGACACGGCCCAGACUCCUACGGGAGGCAGCAGUGGGGAAUAUUGGACAAUGGGCGGAAGCCUGAUCCAGCCACGCCGCGUGUGUGAAGAAGGCCUUAUGGUUGUAAAGCACUUUAAGCGAGGAGGAGGCUACUUUAGUUAAUAUCUAGAGAUAGUGGACGUUACUCGCAGAAUAAGCACCGGCUAACUCUGUGCCAGCCGCCGCCGUAACAC